CUUUACACUCCAAAUUCAGCCAGCCUUCCUAGUGUCCAGGUGUUUGUGCCCUGUCUCUGCCUUCUAUCUUGCCCUGUACUGGGAUUAUAGGUAUGUAACAUCACAUCCAUCUGUACUGGGAUUGCAGGUAUGUAACAUCACAUCCAUCUGUACUGGGAUUGCAGGUAUGUAACAUCACAUCCAUCUGUACUGGGAUUGCAGGUAUGUAACAUCACAUCCAUCUGUACUGGGAUUGCAGGUAUGUAACAUCACAUCAUCUGUACUGGGAUUACAGGUAUGUAACAUCACAUCCAUCUGUACUGAGAUUGCAGGUAUGUAACAUC